rnacentral:rRNA from 1 species
UACAGAGGUCCCUAGCGUUGUUCGGAUUUACUGGGCGUAAAGGGCGCGUAGGCGGCCAGGCAAGUCAAGUGUGAAAUCUCCGGGCUCAACCCGGAACGUGUGCUUGAGACUGCCCGGCUCGAGAGCGGAAGGGGGAAUCGGAAUAUAGGGUGUAGCGGUGAAAUGCGUUGAUAUCCUAUAGAACACCGGAGGCGAAGGCGGAUUCCUUGUACGCAACUGACGCUGAGGCGCAAAAGUCGGGGGAGUAAAC